GCUUCCAGUCUGAGGAAAUAAGAUCAGCUGAGGAAUUGGUGAGAUGAGGAAGCCUGUUUGUAUUUAUUUUUGAUGCUUUUUACUUAACUUCAAGAAUUCUGGUUUUAGUUUUAGUAAGUUACAAAUCAGUUCCUCUCGGUGAUUAGUAGAAGAGGGAUGUUGAGACUGGUAUAGAGAGGGAUAUUCAAGGUUACAGCAAUGCCAACUCAAUGCUUUUGGUUAUAAAGAAAGGGGGUGGGGAGGAAGAGGGAAAGGGUAGCAAAAUCAGGAGGGGAAGGAGAGAGAGGGAGAGAAGGGGUGGAGAACAGGAGACUGAAAGGAGGGGAGGCAUAUGACCAUGGUAGUCUUUGGUUGCAGUUAGCAUAUUCAUCAGCAAGUCUUUCUAGCUGCUCUCAACUGUAAAAAGACCAUGACAUGCCCUCACUUUCUGAUGUCAGGCACAGCCUCAAGACUUGUUUGGCUGAUACAACAUGAGUGGACCUGGUGUGUGCCUCUUCCAGACACAGAUGUAAAGGCCCAGGACCCGUGAGUGCUCUCCACAUUUCCUUCUUUCUGCUACAAUUCUAAGAACGCCUGUUGAGAUGAAGCCCUGUCAGCUUGACUCCUGAAUGACAACAGUGAGCAGCGUUCCUCUUUCAGCCUGUAUUGGGUCUGUCAUGUGAACCAGGAAACUCACUUGUUAAGAGGAAGCACCUGGGGCCCAGAGAAAAUAAAUCUUCUAAAAUCACAAAGACAGAAGAUAAAUCAACCCUGCUCCCCUGAAGCUUCGGACUCUAUAAUAUGAACAUCACCCUGGCUCCCCAUGCAGGCCUGUAAACACCUUUGACUGUGCCUCUAAAUCACAAUGCUUCAGGUUGGUGUCUUCAAGGGUUCCCUUUCUCCUUUUCUAGGAAGACGACUUGUUGCAAACAUUUGCUGGAGAGCCAGAUAGUAUGGUUGGCGUGAAGACUGGGGGUUGUCUAUUCGUCUCCACUUUAAAAUGUGUGAAGUGCCUUUCUCCCCUCAUGGUUACCAUAUGAGUAUUGAUUUUAAUUAGUUCUGUCUAUUAAGAUUCCCCUUAGGUUCAGAAGCCGGCUCAGUAAUUAACUGCUCAUCUUUCCUAAGGCUGGCAGCAUUGGUAGGUGAGUUACUGCUCCUGAUCCGAUCCUUGGAUCAAUGCUAUCCUGUGGUUCUCCCCUAAAGAGUUGGGGUUCAGACUCAAUUUCGGCCUCAGGUUGCUCUUUCAUAUCUUGUCAUGGCAAAAGAGGCCAUGGUAUGAUGUUCUUCAUGGCAGACACACCUGCAUCACAACCCCCAGUAGUGUGUACAUCAUCAGCAACUAAUGUGACGUGUCCAGAUGGAGUUUCUGAGGCCUUUUUGAUACUACCCAGUUGACAUCAGACAUCACAAUUUGUGCUUCCUGAAUGGCUGUGGUACUUUCAUUCUGCGGAGCAGGACUAUUUCUUCUGCUUUAUGUCAUUCUAAAUUCGGGAUUCUAAGUUAGGGAUUGAGUUGUCAGACGUUGAUGGGUAUGUGAAACCUAUUCUCUCAGGAAAUGCAUGUGGUAUGCAGACUCUUAGCAUAGUAUUUCUGAAAUUUAAUUCCUAAAGUGUGUGUUUUGUACUUUUGUAGUCUUCAUUGACCAAAUUUGUGUUGUAUUUGCAGUAGCAAUGUAAUAGGUAUUUGAGAUAAUCAUAAUGAUGUUGGAAAUUGGAAGCAAUCGAUUAAUAAUUAUGUAUGAACCAUGACAGCAAUCCUUUUAGAUUAAAUAAAAAUCUCUGGCAUUUUCUGGGCUCUGUUAUUAAGGGUGAUCCAUUAUUUAGCAAAACAGCUAACAGUUGAAUGUUCAUUUUGUGAUGUUCGGAAGCUCUGGGUUCGCAGUGAUUAGGAGGAGACCACAGAAUUCUCAGCGUUCCAUAGAAUAGAUGUUGAAAUGGAGAGUUCCCAGGCCCAUCUGUUCCUGAGUGCCACGUGACCUUCAGUUAUGACGGGCCCUCCCUCCAGCAGUGUCCCUUAUGUCUCCACAGACUCUCUGUGAUUUAUUUCUCGAGGUUGGUGGCUCAGACUGUCAAUCAAAGCUGAGGGUUCUCAUUCUUGCCUGGUCAGUUUGAGAGCACUGGACUAGAAUAGAAGCUGAGCUCACGUGUGGACGAGGGCCAGAAGAACUGGAUCGGGGGACCCAGAGCGGUCAUGCUAAAACAAAUUAUAUUAUAACCUGGCAACCAUCUCCUCUUAUCUAUUCUUAGAUAACAUUUUAAGUAACUCAUAUGGCAGGCUGAGAGGAGGUACUUGGUGUCCUGCAUCCUGUGCCUAAAAAGGAACACUCGGAGAAGGAAAGCACAGACUAUAUCUAGGAGCAAUUUAAUCUGAUCAAAGAUACUGUGCUGUCUGUGAAGCCGGUGAACUGAAGUGGGAACAUCAGGGACCGUGAGCCGCUGCCAGGUAAUUGAGCCUGAGGAUAAGGUAUUCAUGUGGUAGGGUCCAACAAGACGAGGGUCACACAUAAAUACGUGUAGGAACACGGCUCACAGCUGGAUUUUAAGGGCAAUUACGCAACUAUGACAAUUCUAAGCAAGAUCUGAUUUCCCUUUAGACUCCAGACCUACAAAAUAGGGCUUGUGUUAUCUAUCUCUUCUCACAGCAGUGCUUAAUGAUGUGUCUGCGCAGCCCCAGAACAAUCCUUUACAUGAGCAAGUGAGUGACAGUCAUUGACAAAAUUUGCUGGGAAUUAAUUUUCUGCUGUUCCCCAGUGAGCACAUGCAUUUUCUGCUUCAAGAUUAUUGUUGCAGACAAAAGACAUGCAGAAUAAAAUGGG